GAAAGUAUCCUGCGUAAGGAUACUGUCCAAAGUUCACCGCAGCGUGGUGACCUGAGGCCACCCAUAUGAUAGUAGUGAUGAUAUCGAUAAGGUUAUGUCGUGUUUUGAGUUCAGGCCACCAUGGUUCAUCUCUCUUGUCAGCAUGGCCUAUUGUCCGAAUUUCAGUCCACCAUGCUUGGAGCUCUGCAUCGGAAGCUAAUAAACCUGAUUCAGGGUAGUAGUGAUUUACAUAGUCACUAACCCAUUGGUUGAUGGCAUCCCAUAAAUACAAACCAUCGUUGGCGAAAGGGUAGUCUUCGAUUGUAAGUUUUAGGCCAUGUGGGGCAGUUAGAUCUUCAAUCGCCAUUCCCCUGGCAAUUAGCAAAUUGAGAAGAAGAAAUGAAUUUUACACCAAAAACUAAAGUUCCUAUUUGCUUUAUGUUUUUGAGAGAAUUCAUAGAUUGGAGGCUAAUGCUUACCUGCUGAUUAGGUCAUUGGGUAGUGCUUCAUGGUCAAACCGCCACAGCUUAUCAUAGGCAGCAGAGCAGAUCUCCAUA
rnacentral:lncRNA from 1 species